UACGGAGGAUGCGAGCGUUAUCCGGAUUUAUUGGGUUUAAAGGGUGCGUAGGUUGUUUUUUAAGUCAGCGGUGAAAGUUUGUGGCUCAACCAUAAAAUUGCCGUUGAAACUGGAAGACUUGAGUGUGUUUGAGGUAGGCGGAAUGCGUGGUGUAGCGGUGAAAUGCAUAGAUAUCACGCAGAACUCCGAUUGCGAAGGCAGCUUACUAAGCCAUAACUGACACUGAAGCACGAAAGCGUGGGGAUCAAACA
rnacentral:rRNA from 1 species